UAGAAGGGCCCGGUGUCACAGAGGCCUCUACACCUGGCAGGUCCUGAGGAGAGGGCUGAAAGCAUGAGACCGGGAAUGUGUCAGUGGAGAGAACUCAAAUAAAUGGCACAAAGAAUACAAAGCCAGUAGUUUCUGAGGUGUGAAAAAGGGAAAAACAGUGGGGAUCCUGCUACAAGGCUACAUUUGUGGUCUCUGGAUCCUGGGAUUGUCUGGAGGCUAUUCCACUAUCCAGUAACAGCCAGCUACGAUGUAAGAUGUGUGACUUAAAAGGAUUCCAGCCCAAUUGUCAGUGAAGCAUCUACAGCAUCUCUGAGGCAAAGACUUAACAUUCGAAACCUCUUCAAUAAGCCAACCACAAAAAAUGUUCAAAAGUCAUUAAUUGGGCCACAAAAAGUUUGGCUUAUAUCAUGAGGUUGUUUAAAGUGUUUUUGUUUAAAUGCCUUCUGCUUUUGGAGCUUUUUGGGUGCUCUCACUGUGUUGGUAAGCUUUUCUCAUCAACCAAAAGACUUGUUUAAAUGAAACGUUUUCAGGCAAUCUCUGGAUUUGAGCAGCUGGGUCUUUAACUAAGAUACCAACCACCAGGAGUCUGGCAAUGAAACAGUGAAUUGGCAAAACUGUUUUGACUAAUUGUCCCCAAGUUCGUUAGAAAAUGCAAAUGGAGAUGUGGCAUUUGAGAGGCUUUGAUCUGACUCAUUGGCACAGGGAAAGGCUUUUUAAUUUCCUGGUGCAAGCCAAAAUGGAGCCAGGAUCAGUGGAGGCUGCACAUGAACUCAUUGUCAUUUUAUAAGAGUCCAUGAGUCAGGACCAUGAAGUGGAUGAUUGAGAACCAGUGUGACACCUUCUACCAUGCAAGCAUGGCAGUCCUGAGGAUCUGUCAGGGUGGUAUGGAACUCCUCUGAAUGAUUAUAAAGGGUUUACGCUAUUUGGUUCCUUGUGUCUGCUGUUUAAUUCUAAGACACAGUAAUAGAGGACAGAGGGAAGAUAACCCAGCUGUGAUACAGUUUUUCCCUUUCAAUAAGAAAUACCAAUCUCC